rnacentral:rRNA from 1 species
UUGAAGAGUUUGAUCAUGGCUCAGAUUGAACGCUGGCGGCAGGCCUAACACAUGCAAGUCGAACGGUAACAGGAAGAAGCUUGCUUCUUUGCUGACGAGUGGCGGACGGGUGAGUAAUGUCUGGGAAACUGCCUGAUGGAGGGGGAUAACUACUGGAAACGGUAGCUAAUACCGCAUAACGUCGCAAGACCAAAGAGGGGGACCUUCGGGCCUCUUGCCAUCGGAUGUGCCCAGAUGGGAUUAGCUUGUUGGUGGGGUAACGGCUCACCAAGGCGACGAUCCCUAGCUGGUCUGAGAGGAUGACCAGCCACACUGGAACUGAGACACGGUCCAGACUCCUACGGGAGGCAGCAGUGGGGAAUAUUGCACAAUGGGCGCAAGCCUGAUGCAGCCAUGCCGCGUGUAUGAAGAAGGCCUUCGGGUUGUAAAGUACUUUCAGCGGGGAGGAAGGGAGUAAAGUUAAUACCUUUGCUCAUUGACGUUACCCGCAGAAGAAGCACCGGCUAACUCCGUGCCAGCAGCCGCGGUAAUACGGAGGGUGCAAGCGUUAAUCGGAAUUACUGGGCGUAAAGCGCACGCAGGCGGUUUGUUAAGUCAGAUGUGAAAUCCCGGGCUCAACCGGGAACUGCAUCUGAUACUGGCAAGCUUGAGUCUCGUAGAGGGGGGUAGAAUUCCAGGUGUAGCGGUGAAAUGCGUAGAGAUCUGGAGGAAUACCGGUGGCGAAGGCGGCCCCCUGGACGAAGACUGACGCUCAGGUGCGAAAGCGUGGGGAGCAAACAGGAUUAGAUACCCUGGUAGUCUACGCCGUAAACGAUGUCGACUUGGAGGUUGUGCCCUUGAGGCGUGGCUUCCGGAGCUAACGCGUUAAGUCGACCGCCUGGGGAGUACGGCCGCAAGGUUAAAACUCAAAUGAAUUGACGGGGGCCCGCACAAGCGGUGGAGCAUGUGGUUUAAUUCGAUGCAACGCGAAGAACCUUACCUGGUCUUGACAUCCACAGAACUUUCCAGAGAUGGAUUGGUGCCUUCGGGAACUGUGAGACAGGUGCUGCAUGGCUGUCGUCAGCUCGUGUUGUGAAAUGUUGGGUUAAGUCCCGCAACGAGCGCAACCCUUAUCCUUUGUUGCCAGCGGUCCGGCCGGGAACUCAAAGGAGACUGCCAGUGAUAAACUGGAGGAAGGUGGGGAUGACGUCAAGUCAUCAUGGCCCUUACGACCAGGGCUACACACGUGCUACAAUGGCGCAUACAAAGAGAAGCGACCUCGCGAGAGCAAGCGGACCUCAUAAAGUGCGUCGUAGUCCGGAUUGGAGUCUGCAACUCGACUCCAUGAAGUCGGAAUCGCUAGUAAUCGUGGAUCAGAAUGCCACGGUGAAUACGUUCCCGGGCCUUGUACACACCGCCCGUCACACCAUGGGAGUGGGUUGCAAAAAGAAGUAGGUAGCUUAACCUUCGGGAGGGCGCUUACCACUUUGUGAUUCAUGACUGGGGUGAAGUCGUAACAAGGUAACCGUAGGGGAACCUGCGGUUGGAUCACCUCCUU